UGGGGAAUAUUGCACAAUGGGCGCAAGCCUGAUGCAGCCAUGCCGCGUGUAUGAAGAAGGCCUUCGGGUUGUAAAGUACUUUCAGUCGGGAGGAAGGUGGUAAGGUUAAUAACCUUAUCAAUUGACGUUACCGACAGAAGAAGCACCGGCUAACUCCGUGCCAGCAGCCGCGGUAAUNCNGNGGGUGCAAGCGUUAAUCGGAAUUACUGGGCGUAAAGCGCACGCAGGCGGUUGAUUGAGUCAGAUGUGAAAUCCCCGGGCUUAACCCGGGAAUUGCAUCUGAUACUGGUCAGCUAGAGUCUUGUAGAGGGGGGUAGAAUUCCAUGUGUAGCGGUGAAAUGCGUAGAGAUGUGGAGGAAUACCGGUGGCGAAGGCGGCCCCCUGGACAAAGACUGACGCUCAGGUGCGAAAGCGUGGGGAGCAAACAGGAUUAGAUACCCUGGUAGUCCACGCUGUAAACGAUGUCGACUUGGAGGUUGUGCCCUUGAGGCGUGGCUUCCGGAGCUAACGCGUUAAGUCGACCGCCUGGGGAGUACGGCCGCAAGGUUA
rnacentral:rRNA from 1 species